ensembl:lncRNA
AAAUUAAUUGGAAGGGAUGAGCAUGUAAAGGCUCUAUAUCAAUCAUAUUCAUGGUCCAUCUUCUGAUUUUUUUAUUUUUUUGUUUUUAAAGUCAUGUUUUCAUCUCUUAAAUUUAGAUAAAUACUUUUUUUCAGUCAUUUUAGAAAGUGUUUCUAUUGUCAUAUUUGAGAACUAGCCUUAUUUAGGUUUUAGGUUUUUUAACUAAAGGUAUGUGUAGCAAUUUGUAACAAUUAGUCCACUGGAGACAAGUUGUGAUGAUGAACCCAAGUGCACAAGGUGAAAUCCAAACAAACGAAGACUUGACUUGAAAAAAAAAAGAUUGCGUCAAAGCAACUGAACAACAUUAAUUAGGAAAACAGUGUGUCAAUAAUGCAAAAUGACAGUUAAAGGCAGUUCAUCAUUGAAUUCAGUGAUGUCUUUACAGGGGAUCUGUCUCUGGGGCUCUAGUCCUGGUCUCCGCUGUCUUUCAGGGCUGUAGAGGUCCUUUCUAGGUGCUGAUCCACCAUCUGGGCUGGAUACAUACUGGAUCCGGGUGACUGCAGUGACCCUCUGACUUGGAUACAGACUGGAUCUGGUGGCUACGGUGACCUCGGAAUAAGAGAAACAGACUAAUAUGAGCGUAGAUGCCAUUCUUCUAAUGAUGUAGCAAGUACAUCGGGUGUUAUGGGAAGUGUUCCCGGGUCCGGUUUAUCUAAUUAAUGCAGCCUAAAAAUCCUUUAACGGAUUUGGAUAUUAGAAGUGUAUUAGUAUGUUAUGUGUAAGCCAGGUUAAAGAGAUGGGUCUUUAAUCUAGAUUUAAACUGCAAGAGUGUGUCUGCCUCCCGAACAAUGUUAGGUAGGUUAUUCCAGAGUUUGGGCGCUAAAUAGGAGAAGGACCUGCCGCCCGCAGUUGACUUUGAUAUUCUAGGUAUUAUCAAAUUGCCAGAGUUUUGAGAACGGAGCGGACAUGGAGGACUAUAAUGUAACAAGAGCUCGUUCAAAUACUGAGGUGCUAAACCAUUCAGGGCUUUAUAAGUAAUAAGCAAGAUUUUAAAAUCUAUACGAUGUUUGAUAGGGAGCCAGUGCAGUGUUGACAGGACCGGGCUAAUAUGAUCAUACUUCCUGGUUCUAGUAAGAACUCUAGCUGCUGCAUUUUGGACUAACUGGAGUUUGUUUACUAAGCGUGCAGAACAACCACCCAAUAGAGCAUUACAAUAGUCUAGCCUUGAGGUCAUAAACGCAUGGAUUAACAUUUCUGCAUUUGACAUUGAAAGCAUAGACCGUAAUUUAGAUAUAUUUUUGAGAU